UAGCCGCAGAAAACUGUGCUAAGGUAGCAUAAUCAUUUACCUUCUAAUUUAAGGUCUGUAUGAAAGAUUUAACAUUUAAAUUACUUUUUUAUUAAAUAUUCUUGAAAUUAAAUUAAACAUAAAAAUGUGUUUAUAAAAAAAUUAGACGACAAGACCCUAUCGAACUUUACUAAAGUUUAGCUGGGGAAGCUAUUAAAUACUAUUUUAAUAAUUUUAUUUAAAAAAAAUUCUUCUCAAAAAAUAUUAAGUUACCAUAGGGAUAACAGCGUAAUUAUUUUUUAAAGCUCUUAUUAAAAAAAUAGAUUACGACCUCGAUGUUGAAUUAAAUUAACUCCUAAGCGCAAUAGCUUAAUAGUGAGUCUGUUCGACCCUUAAUUUUUUACAUGAUUUG
rnacentral:rRNA from 1 species